rfam:Podiceps cristatus contig145887, whole genome shotgun sequence.
GUUUCUGUAGUGUAGUGGUCAUCACGUUCGCCUAACACGCGAAAGGUCCCUGGUUCGAAACCAGGCAGAAACA